UUGCUGCUAACCAAAAGAAAGCAGCUGAUAUCAUCAGCAUAUUUGUUGCAAACAGAAGCAAGCUUCUUAGACUUUUGGGUGACUUAAAAAUCGAUAAAGAGGAUGAACAGUUCGAAGCUGAUAAAGCUCAAGUUAUAAAAGAAAUUGCUGCUCUUGAACCUAGGGACAUCGCUUGAGCUUCUUCAGACUCUGUCAGGUAGCAAGUUGCAUUGUGGUAUUUUACAUUAUUUAAUUGUCUAUUGUUAUAGUUCUUUUAGUCUUAAUCAAAAUGAGACUAACCUUCAACACAAAUUCCAAUGUUUCCUUACUGAAAUUUCAUUUCGGUUCUGUAAUUCCCAGAUGAAUAAAUUGCUGAAAAGAGCUA